AUGAACGCUGCCGGCGUGCUUCAUACAUGCAAGUCGAACGAGUUCUCGUUGAUGAUCGGUGCUUGCACCGAGAUUCCACAUGGAACGAGUGGCGGACGGGUGAGUAACACGUGGGUAACCUGCCCUUAAGUGGGGGAUAACAUUUGGAAACAGAUGCUAAUACCGCAUAGAUCCAAGAACCGCAUGGUUCUUGGCUGAAAGAUGGCGUAAGCUAUCGCUUUUGGAUGGACCCGCGGCGUAUUAGCUAGUUGGUGAGGUAAUGGCUCACCAAGGCGAUGAUACGUAGCCGAACUGAGAGGUUGAUCGGCCACAUUGGGACUGAGACACGGCCCAAACUCCUACGGGAGGCAGCAGUAGGGAAUCUUCCACAAUGGACGCAAGUCUGAUGGAGCAACGCCGCGUGAGUGAAGAAGGCUUUCGGGUCGUAAAACUCUGUUGUUGGAGAAGAAUGGUCGGCAGAGUAACUGUUGUCGUCGUGACGGUAUCCAACCAGAAAGCCACGGCUAACUACGUGCCAGCAGCCGCGGUAAUACGUAGGUGGCAAGCGUUAUCCGGAUUUAUUGGGCGUAAAGCGAGCGCAGGCGGUUUUUUAAGUCUGAUGUGAAAGCCCUCGGCUUAACCGAGGAAGCGCAUCGGAAACUGGGAAACUUGAGUGCAGAAGAGGACAGUGGAACUCCAUGUGUAGCGGUGAAAUGCGUAGAUAUAUGGAAGAACACCAGUGGCGAAGGCGGCUGUCUGGUCUGUAACUGACGCUGAGGCUCGAAAGCAUGGGUAGCGAACAGGAUUAGAUACCCUGGUAGUCCAUGCCGUAAACGAUGAAUGCUAGGUGUUGGAGGGUUUCCGCCCUUCAGUGCCGCAGCUAACGCA
rnacentral:rRNA from 1 species